CCUACGGGUGGCAGCAGUGGGGAAUAUUGCUCAAUGGGGGAAACCCUGAAGCAGCGACGCCGCGUGAAGGAUGAAGGUUUUAGGGAUGUAAAACCCUUUUUAUAGAGGAGAAAAUGAAGGUACCUGACCCAUAAGCACCGGCUAAAACCGUGCCAGCAGCCGCGGUACUACGGAGGGUGCAAGCGUUAUCCGGAUUCACUGGGUGUAAGGGGAGCGCAGGCGGGUUGGUAAGUCAGGUGGGAAAUGCUGUGGCUUAACCGCAGAACUGCAAUUGAAACUGUGAGUCUAGAGUGUGGGUGAGGUAGGUGGAAUUCUUGGUGUAGCGGUGAAAUGCGUAGAUAUCAAGAGGAACACCCAUUGCGAAGGCGGCUUACUGGACUGUAACUGACGUUGAUGCACGAAAGCGUGGGGAGCAAACAGGAUUAGAUACCCGAGUAGUC
rnacentral:rRNA from 1 species